rnacentral:lncRNA from 1 species
GUAACAUAAGAACUCACUCUUUCUUCAGGGUCAUAAUUGGGUCUUAGUGUAUUCAAUUGGGUCUCCUACUUAAACAUAGCGUGGUCUCACAUGAUUAAAUUCACAUUCAUUGUUAAUGCACAUCCACUUAAGCAAUUGUAACCCGCUUAUUGGACAGUCAGCAUCAAUUCUACAUCCAUCAAAUACUGGAAUGAAAAGAAAAGAAAAAUACAAUAGUGUUAUUAAAAUAAGAUAAAAUAUUGUGUACGAUGUAGUUUGCUCCUUGGUUCAACUAAGUUUUGAAGAUGUUUGUGUUUUCUCCUUUAAUUGUUGUAAUAUUGUUUUUGUUUAGUUUAGCUACAAUUCUCUUCAAGAAUGUAUCACUUUGGAAAUUCCAACAAUUUGUUUAAUCGAUACAAAUUGUGACCCAGAUUUAGCAGAUAUUUCGAUUCCAACUAAUGAUGAUGUUAUAGCUUCAAUCCGAUUAAUUCUUAACAAAUUAGUUUUUGCAAUUUGUGAAGGUCGUUCUAGCUAUAUAUGAAAUUUUUGAUUAAUAAUAAGAUAAAUAAAUUUUUAGAUUAAACAUUUUAUUUUCCUCUUAUCAUUAGACAAUCUAAUUCAGUUUUCAAAUACAUCCAAAGGAAUAAAUUCCUUAUAUUUCUUAUCUAAUUGUAAGGCACCCUUUAAUUUGAGGUCUUCAAUAUAUCUUAUGUCAUUCCAUUGCAUAAAAAUAUCUCUACACAUAAACAUUGCAUUCUAUGUGUGUGGGGUAAUAUGUACCUUGAAUGUUAGUUUAGAAUUGUUUCAAUCUCUCAAUAAGGUACAAUCACAUGUAAAUUCCAACUUCUUGCCAUUUUGUUGCUUGAGGAUAAGCAACGGUUUAAGUUUGGUUUGUGAUGAUUGAAUAACAUAUAAUAUUUUUAGGUAUAUUUUUAGUUAUUUUCUUUGUAUUUGAAGGAAAAUUAGAAGUCAUUUAGAGGAGUUGUCAAUGGUUUGAUUAACUUUGUGUUUUUUUUUUUUGCCAUAGGUGUCUUGUGUCUUGUUAGUGAGAAAUCAUGCAUAUCGGCAAAACAAGACACCAAGUGGAGGAUCGAGGGUAUAAAGAUUAAAUAUCAGUGGUUCUUAAAAGGUAUUUGAAUACAAUACAAACUGAAGAAAAUUCAUUUCAAACUCCAAGGUAUUGCAAGACGAAAGAACACGCGAAAAGGAACGAAAACUACAAAAUUCGCACAUGAGGGGCUUCCAGAAGCGCACAUGCACCCUGCGCAUGGUACAUGGUCAGAGAGUGCUUGUUGCUUGUUUUUCAACAUGUUUUGGUUCAAAACCCCUAUUUUUCUUCUCUUACUCCCUAAGUAAUGAUGCAGUGUAACUAGAGACCCUUGCACACUCUUUCAUCUAGAAAUCUAGCGGUACUGGCAAAACUCAAACAUCCGGAGCUUCAAGGAAGAAGAUAUCCAUCAUCCUCUUGUUCUCUCUAGGGUAUUUUUUCUCUCUUUUGUUUUGUAAUGAUGUACGUUUCAACAUGAAACUAAACCUCUUUGGAUUGGAUUCCACGAAGAACUCCUUCUUGUUUGUUGGACUAUAAUACAGUUUUUUUUAUUCAAUUUAUGAUCUAAAGUCAGAUUUAAUUCGUAUAUGUCCAUUUCUAUACCAUAACUCUAGAUGGUGCUAAGUAGGAUUGAGGACCUAAAUUCCAUUGAAACAAGACAUCCGUGAAUUGCUUAGUUUUUAAUUUAAUUGAAUUUAAGUAUGGAUUUAGGGAUAUAACUCAUCUUAAGGAAAUCCCACAAUUGUAAUUGGUUAAAUUGCGAGGAUAUUGAAAUAAACUUGCAACGAUUCAUCACAUGGUUAUGUUCUACUUUCUUAAAUCCAAUAAGGCAAGCAUAAACUAAUAAUUAAUCGAAUUAAUUUCAACAACGAAGGAGGGGGGAUUCAAGGAUUCCUUAAUCACUGUUACACUAGCGAAUCAAACCAAACAUAAUCUCGCAUUAUGCAGGAUAAUUAAAACCUUCUAACCACUCUCAAUCUUCUUUUUUAUUUGCUUUUCUAAUAAGUUCCGCUAAUUAUCAAUUUAAACGACAACGACAAUCCAUUUGGAGACGUUAACUUACUACAUUAUUACUUGAGUAUGAUUUGGUGCACUUACUUAAUUAUAUUAUCACAGCUCGAAAAAGAACAAGAGUAAAUUUCUUAUUUAAAAUUAAUCUCUUUUAAAUUAAACAUUAUUAUGAUUGUUUGGAAUAUGAUUCAUCUUUAGGUGAACUUUGCAAGUAUAACAUUUGUCGUGACACAAAUAAUCGAACUUUCCCCCGUUACAUUACGGGGUCAUGUCUUACUCUCUUGAAUUAAGGAAAGUCAUAAACUAAUAAUAAAAUGAGGUAACUUCGAAAAAGAUCGUUUUUAUGCGCUGAAACUCUUAAAACAAUGAAUAUCUCAUUCUCUCCUAUAUAAGGACCUGGUUAGAUUAAAAAAAAAGAGAGACUUCAUAUAUUUUACAAGUGGCAAAUCUCUCUCAAAUUUGAAAGCGCACAAAUACUUAGAAACUUCUUAUAAACUUUAUAGGGUUAAUAGGUCUUUACCCCUCUGUAAUAUAGGUCAUUUCCAGUUUUCCCCCCUGUAAAAAAAAAUUGUUUUGAUUUACCUCCUUAAUAGGCCAAACAAAAACGAAAAUUUCUUGAAAAAAAUAAUAAAAUUGGUUUUGUUUGGCCUAUUAGGGGUAAAUCAAAACAAAAAUAUUUUACAGGGGAUAAAUAAAAAAAAAUUACAGGGGGAAUACCGAAAAUGACCUAUAUUACAGGGGGUGAAGACCUAUUAAGUAUUAACCCAACUUUAUAUCUUAAAAUUUCUUAAGUAUCAUAAAUCACUUGAACUUUAAGUUUAGUUUACCACUCUUUGAGUACAAAGAGCAAACACAUACAAAUUUACCAUUCUUGUGUGAGGCAAGGAAAUCUUAGACUUGUGUGUUUAAGUAAUUGUAAUCUUGUGUGAUUACACUGAAAAAUCCGUUAGAAGCACACAGGAACUGGACUAACCUCAUAUUGUGGAGUGAACCGCGAUAAUUGUUUUUCUUCUCUCUUAUAUAUCUUAUUGUCUUGCUUGUUCUGUUUUGUUUUAAUAUAUAGAAAAAUAUUUUCAGAAAAAGCCAACAUAGUUAAAUUCUCCCUUGUGUUUUCUCACCUUCAUGAAUUGACUAAAAAUUAAAUUGAAAAUCUAAUUGAUUGUUCAAUGACUAUUCGUAUUUUACAUUAUCCUUCUGAUUUAUUCAUCAUAUAUCAAAUAAUUUUGAUUCAUCUUAUAGAGUUUUAUUUCUUAAGUUUAGGUUUAGUUUGAUAUUGUUAAUGGUUUUGAGGAUUAUAUUAUAUUGUUUAUCUUGUUAUCAUAUAAAGCUAGUUCUUAAUUCCAUAUAGACUACAAGUUACAUAAGGAAAAUUGAAAAACAUGAAAAAAAAUUGCUUACCAUAUUGGAAGACAACAUCAUCACCAUCAACAUUCUUUACAACAAGAAAAAUAGAAAGAAAGAAAAUCAUAUAAUUAAC